UGUUAAAAAUGGUCUAUAUCUACUAUUAAAAACUGGCGUAGAUGACGAAAUGACCAAAUAUUUGCACGUAGUGUGCCACAUGUACCUAAUGCUAAUGUAUAAGAACCAAUUUUUAACGGUAAAAAUGAAUAAAAUUUUUAACA
rnacentral:pre_miRNA from 1 species